rnacentral:rRNA from 1 species
AGCCAGACUCCUACGGGAGGCAGCAGUGGGGAAUAUUGCACAAUGGGGGAAACCCUGAUGCAGCGACGCCGCGUGAGCGAUGAAGUAUUUCGGUAUGUAAAGCUCUAUCAGCAGGGAAGAAGAUGACGGUACCUGACUAAGAAGCCCCGGCUAACUACGUGCCAGCAGCCGCGGUAAUACGUAGGGGGCAAGCGUUAUCCGGAUUUACUGGGUGUAAAGGGAGCGUAGACGGCGAUGCAAGCCAGAUGUGAAAGCCCGGGGCUCAACCCCGGGACUGCAUUUGGAACUGUGUGGCUGGAGUGUCGGAGAGGCAGGCGGAAUUCCUAGUGUAGCGGUGAAAUGCGUAGAUAUUAGGAGGAACACCGGUGGCGAAGGCGGCCUGCUGGACUGUGACUGACGUUGAGGCCCGAAGGCGUGGGGAGCAAACAGGAUUAGAUACCCGAGUA